UUCAAUCGUCAGAACAAAUGUCUUUGACUCUAAGUCAGCUAUUCUAGACUAAUGUGACGUCAGAUGUUGUUUUGUCAGAUUCAUUUCCCGUUAGAGCCCUGCACACUUAGAUAAAUUCAUUAGGGUAUCAAAAUGUUUCAUCCUUUGUUAUCAUCAAAACUUAGAGAUAACUUGUAGACCCAAAAUCUUGUUCUAACAAAGAUUCCUUAAAGUCUCAAACGAGAUAAAGGAAAAAAGAAAAUUAGA
rnacentral:lncRNA from 1 species